CUGGAAGCUAUUGUCAAAUGAUUGUCAAAACAAACUGCAAGGAACCAUCCAAAACAGAGAUUGAUUUUGGUGUGUUUUUUUUAUAAUUACCUGAAUCCUGUGUUUUAAUUGUUCAUUAUAUCUAAGGAUGGCGCCUUUAAGAAAAGUCUCAGAUCGACAAAUGGACAUUUUGUUGGAGUUCGUUGAAAGACAUAAAGAGCUUGCUGUUGGCCGGUACCCUCCCGGCCCACUAGGCAUACAAUCAGCACGUUGGCUAUGGGACAGUGCAGCAUUACAAAUACCUAUAUGAAUUAUAUUCAAUUGGGUCUGGAGUACUGAAAAGAGAAAAACUGGUAAAAAAUUCUGACGGGCAUUCACAUGUAAAGUGACAAUGUGCAAUCAUAACAUAAAGGUUAAAGUAGAAAAAUUAUUUUAAUAAUGAUUAUAGUAAGACUGGUAGAAGCAAAAUGUGAUAGGAAGUUAUGUGAUUUAAAAUCAAAAAUAAAAGCCAUUAAUAUAAAUUGAGUUUUUUAUUACAAAAUUAUACAUAUACAGCAAAAAUCAGCCUAUCAGUCAGGUUAUUUUAGUUCCUUGACACUUGAAUUCACAGCCUUUGGACAAGGUUGGCCCUCAUGCGCCCUGCAUCUGCAUCAGCAGCACCAUAAGCCACGUUACCAAUAUGCUGCACCCGAAUGUUACCAGCAGCAGGCAAGUUGUCGUCACUGGUAUAUUGUGUGCAUUUGCUAUAUUGUGUAGUACACA